rnacentral:antisense_RNA from 1 species
CUUCAGCGAGCCGAGCCGCAGCGGCAGCCCCUCGGGCCGGUCCUGUCCGUAGGUGGCCAGCAGCGCCUGCGCCUC